rnacentral:rRNA from 1 species
CCACAACCACGUACUCCAGCUCCAGAAGCGUAUAUUAAAGUUGUUGCAGUUAAAAAGCUCGUAGUUGGAUCUGGGUCGUAUGGCUACGUACCGUUGCUCGCAUUCUCGGCUUGGUUUCGACUAGGUCAAGUUUGUGGGUCGGUUUCGUGGCUGUGCAGCCUUUCUGCCGUGUCUGUUUCGACAGGUGCCGACUUAAUCGAUGAGCUUGUCUCGUUGGUUGGUUGGCAUGCUUCCAGAUGCCUUUAAACGGGUGUCGGGGGCGGACGGUACGUUUACUUUGAACAAAUUUGAGUGCUCAAAGCAGGCUUGUGCCUGAAAAUUCUUGCAUGGAAUAAUGGAAUAGGACUUCGGUUCUAUUUUGUUGGUUUUCGGAUCCGAAGUAAUGGUUAAGAGGGACAGACGGGGGCAUUUGUAUGGCGGUGUUAGAGGUGAAAUUCUUGGAUCGCCGCCAGACAAACUACAGCGAAAGCAUUUGCCAAGGAUGUUUUCAUUGAUCUGGAGCGAAAGUCAGAGGUUCGAAGACGAUCAGAUACCGUCCUAGUUCUGACCAUAAACGAUGCCAACUGACGAUCCGUGGGUGUUUUAAUGACCCCGCGGGCAGUCCCCGGGAAACCUUUAAGUCUUUGGGCUCCGGGGGAAGUAUGGUUGCAAAGCUGAAACUUAAAGGAAUUGACGGAAGGGCACCACCAGGAGUGGAGCCUGCGGCUUAAUUCGACUCAACACGGGAAAACUCACCCGGCCCGGACACUGUGAGGAUUGACAGAUUGAUAGCUCUUUCUUGAUUCGGUGGUGGGACGGGG